AUUGAACGCUGGCGGCAGGCCUAACACAUGCAAGUCGAACGAGUGGCGGACGGGUGAGUAAUGUCUGGGACACUGCCCGAUGGAGGGGGAUAACUACUGGAACCGGUAGCUAAUACCGCAUACCAUCAGAUGUGCUCAGAUGGGAUUAGCUUGUUGGUGGGGUAACGGCUCACCAAGGCGACGAGCCCUAGCUGGGCUGAGAGGAUGACCAGCCGCACUGGAACUGAGACACGGUCCGGACUCCUACGAGAGGCAGCAGUGGGGAAUAUUGCGCAAUGGGCGCAAGCCUGAAACAGCCAUGCCGCGGAUAUGAAGGGGGCCUUCGGGUUGUAAAGUACUUUCAGCGGGGAGGCGUUACCCGCAGAAGAAGCACCGGCUAACUCCGUGCCAGCAGCCGCGGUAAUUC
rnacentral:rRNA from 1 species